CUGCGUUGAAAGCUUCUGAAUUUCAAGCAGAAAGUAGAAGGAGCCCCACACGGCAAUGAGCGUCUUUCCUUGGGCUGCGUGUACGGAGGGUAGACAAUGAAAAUCUCCAUCCCCCUCCCCCAUCCCCACUAGCCUACGAGAUUUGUGUUUUCGUUUCUUCUCAACGGUGGAAGAUGUGUAAAAACAAAUAUAUAGAGAUGUGCAGAGAUUUUUUUUAAAAAAACCAACCAGCCAACCAAACGGGCUGAGACACGGAUUACCCGAGUGCGCCCCAGCUGGACACGUCUGGGGUCUCCGCGCAAGACCGGCUCUCGGUGCUCUCUCGCUUCCUCGGACGCUGGAGCGGGAGCGGGCCUUUCCCUAGGGCCGCCCGCGCUGUAGGGGACGCCGUGAAAAGAGCCGCCGCGCCCACCGCCUCCUGCCCGCUGCGCAGAGGGCUCCACCCUAGAGGUCAACUCCCCUCACCCCUUCCUCUCUCCUGCUCGCCCCCCUCCGCUUCCAGCCUCCAGACUCUUGCGGCAGUCUGAGGAGUGCGCGUCCGCUGCGCUGUCCUGAGCCGAAACCCGCAGUCGGGCCCACACCCGAGAUCCGCGCUCCCUGGCAGUGGAGAAGCCUGAGCGAGCAGCCUGGUCUCUCUGCUGCAGCAAAACCGUAGCCAGACCAGAUGGGCCGCCCAGCUCUCCCGGGACUAGGCAGGUGCGGUUGAGUUAAUUUUUCCGCAUUACAAAGAAAGAUCACC